GGAAAAAUCUGCAAGUCCUUUAUGGUGACACUCCUUAUGGCAAAAGGCCCAAAUAUUCCAGUAGGUGUGAUCUGGACCUCCAUUUCUUGUGUUAAUAUGUAUCUGGAGUUGAGACCGAGGUCAUUAAGAUUUUUCCUGAAAAGUUUUGGUGCAUAGGAGUGGUGGGCAUUAAAAAUGGCUGUUGGGUUGACAUUCUCCCCUGAAAAUAAGUCUGAUGCCUUCAUGUAGUUUCUAUGAAAAAAAAAAAAGCAACAAAUAAAUAAGUGGCCAUUCUUCACCACAACUCAGGAAUCUAUACUCAUUUCCCCAACAAUUUCCUUGUUUACAAUGAGAAUAUAAACCUGGCAAUUUAGCCAUCAAGACCUGAGCUUUGUAGACAUUGUCAGUUAAAAUGCCCAGAAGGAUCAUAUUUAAAGAUCUGUUACCAUUAUCUUUAUUCGUUUUUCCCCUCGUUGGCUGCCAAUAAUUGAGGCACCUUUUGGCAUUGGAGGGCAGCGGCCAGAGAGAACACUUGUGAAUAUGGAGACCAAUAUCAGCAAAGAAGCAGAGGUAAUUGAUAUCUCUAUUUUUUUCUUAAAGGAUGGAUGGCAGUCUGGCAUGCUGUAUUAGCAUUCUCAUAUACCAGUUGUUUAACAAUUCCCCAUCAACCACCAGGCUGUUGACUACCUGCAAAAAAAUGGAGUGAACACAGUUCAGGAAUUGAGUCAUGCGAUAAGUCUGUGGGGUAGUGGACCAAGCCACCAGAACUGGACCUUUUUCAAGGUGAUUAAUUCAGCUUUCUGAACAGAAGUCCCAGCAACUGGAGUUUUCAGCAGAUGUCUGGUGCCACUUGAUUGAUGAAUCACAGCAGACCGGAUCUUGCCUCUGGAUCCAGAGGUAUAUAGGAAAAAACUUUUCAUCUUCUGGGCCUGACAGCCAGACUGUCUCCACCCAAGUUGCCAUGGAAACCACAGGAACCUGAGAACUGCUAUGGAGACCACAGGGAACUGUUUACUUCGUGGACUACAGACCAACUUCUGUUAUUUUAAUUAAUACCUGACUCCUAGAUUAUAAUUGAUUCUUCCCAGAUUUCUGACUACAUUGAAGCUAAGCUUGAGAGCUAGAAAACAGACCUAGCUCCUUACCCCAAGGAAGUAUUGCUCUACAUGGCUACUGGUGUCCUGGAACUUACCAUGUGAAUCAAGAUGGCCUCAAACUCAGAGAUGCAUUUGUAUGUCUCCAAAACACACCACUAGGUCCAGG
rnacentral:lncRNA from 1 species